GACGAACGCUGGCGGCGUGCCUAAUACAUGCAAGUCGAACGCACUCUCGUUUAGAUUGAAGGAGUUUGAUCCUGAUUGAUAAACAUUUGAGUGAGUGGCGGACGGGUGAGUAACACGUGGGUAACCUGCCCUAAAGUGGGGGAUAACAUUUGGAAACAGAUGCUAAUACCGCAUAAAACCUAACACCGCAUGGUGUAGGGUUGAAAGAUGGUUUCGGCUAUCACUUUAGGAUGGACCCGCGGUGCAUUAGUUAGUUGGUGAGGUAAAGGCUCACCAAGACCGUGAUGCAUAGCCGACCUGAGAGGGUAAUCGGCCACACUGGGACUGAGACACGGCCCAGACUCCUACGGGAGGCAGCAGUAGGGAAUCUUCCACAAUGGACGAAAGUCUGAUGGAGCAACGCCGCGUGAGUGAAGAAGGUUUUCGGAUCGUAAAACUCUGUUGUUGGAGAAGAAUGUAUCUGAUAGUAACUGAUCAGGUAGUGACGGUAUCCAACCAGAAAGCCACGGCUAACUACGUG
rnacentral:rRNA from 1 species